rnacentral:rRNA from 1 species
UACGGGGGGGGGCAAGCGUUGUUCGGAAUUACUGGGCGUAAAGCGCGCGUAGGCGGCUUUGCAAGUCGGGUGUGAAAUCCCCAGGCUUAACCUGGGAACUGCAUUCGAGACUGCAUUGCUAGAGUAUGGGAGAGGGAAGUGGAAUUUCCGGUGUAGCGGUGAAAUGCGUAGAUAUCGGAAGGAACAUCAGUGGCGAAAGCGACUUCCUGGACCAAUACUGACGCUCAUGUGCGAAAGCGUGGGGAGCAAACAGGG